rnacentral:lncRNA from 1 species
UGCUGCUGGAAUGGGCCGAAUCUGCUGGACUGUUGCACUGGGCCUGCUGGUAGACUGCUUCUUUUGUGGGUUUAGGGCUGCUGGGUCACUGCUGCUGGAACCUGCUGUUUGCAGCGGGUCGACCCGGGUCGGGUCGGAACCGGGUCGGGUCAACAGGAUAUAUUUACCCUCUUUUUUUUUCUAUUUCUAUUUUUUCUUCUUUUUCUCUCUAUUUUUUCGGGUUGAAAUCUAGCCCUUUUUUCUUUCGCCGCCGUCGGUGUCUUUUGAGCACGGUGGUGGGACAGGCGCCGGUGCUCUCCCUUCCCUCCUUUCUUCCUCUUCUUCCUUCUCUUCCUUCUUCUUUACUGUUUGGGUUGUUUUUGUCUUUUUGCUGGCUGUUUUUUUUUUGUUUUCUUCUUGCUUGUUUGUGUAGGUGCGACGGUGGUGAGAAGAAUGCCAAGGCAUGGCGGUGGGCACGGUGGUGGUGAAGGCGGUGGUGGGGGCCCUUUGGCUUGCUGCUGUUUUUAUUUUUUUUGAACUUUCUCUGCUCUUUUUUUUGUUUUUGAAAUUUUUUGAGAACCCCUCUUGAAAAAUCCCCUCUCCCCUCCUUUUAAUCUGCUCACUUUGUCCUCUUUCUAAUUAUUUUCAGGUGGCAGAGGAGUCAUCAUGGCCUAGGGAGGCUGCUGGAGUAGCUCGGCUGGGAGGGGUACGCUCGGCUGCUGAUUGCGGGGAUUAGACAAGUGCAGGAGGACCAAAUUGCAGAGGAUGCAAAGCUUCUGGGGCAAAAGUGCAAUUUUAGCAAAAAUAUGGGCCAAAAUGUAAUUUUUGGAAAGUUUAGGACCUUGAACGUAAUUUACAAAAUAUUAGGGGUCAAGAUGCAAAUUUGGAAAAAUUUAGGGGUCAAAAUGUAAUUUUUGAAGAAUUCGGGGGCUAAAAUGUAAUUUAUCUUGUAUUUUUUUGAUUUAUUAUUGCUUUAUUAAUAUUAUUAAAACAUAAAAACAUAAAUAAAAUAAAAUAAAAACAAUGGGCCAAAGCCUAAACAAGUCCAAAAUUAAAAUAUUUAAAACACAAUUAUCC